rnacentral:misc_RNA from 1 species
UCCGGCUUAUCACCGGCGGUUUCUUUAGAGUGCCCAACUAAAUGAUGGCAACUAAAGACGAGGGUUGCGCUCGUUGCGGGACUUAACCCAAUAUCUCACGACACGAGCUGACGACAGCCAUGCACCACCUGUGCACAGGCCCCGAAGGGCUGCCGUAUUUCUACGACAUUCCUAGCAUGUCAAGGGUAGGUAAGGUUUUUCGCGUUGCAUCGAAUUAAACCACAUCAUCCACCGCUUGUGCGGGCCCCCGUCAAUUCCUUUGAGUUUUAAUCUUGCGACCGUACUCCCCAGGCGGAUGACUUCACGCGUUAGCUGCGUUACUAAGGGAUUUAACUCCCCCAACAACUAGUCAUCAUCGUUUAGGGCGUGGACUAC